rnacentral:rRNA from 1 species
GACGGAGGUCCCGAGCGUUGUUCGGAAUUAUUGGGCUUAAAGCGCGUGUAGGCGGGAUGGCAAGUACCUUGUGAAAUCCCCGGACUCAAUCCGGGAACUGCUCGGUAUACUGCCGUUCUCGAGGCAGGUAGGGGUCACUGGAACCUUAGGUGGAGCGGUGAAAUGCGUAGAUAUCUAAGGGAACGCCUGUGGCGAAAGCGGGUGACUGGGCCUGUCCUGACGCUGAGACGCGAAAGCGUAGGGGAGCGAACGGG